rnacentral:rRNA from 1 species
AAAUUGAAGAGUUUGAUCAUGGCUCAGAUUGAACGCUGGCGGCAGGCCUAACACAUGCAAGUCGAACGGUAACAGGAAGCAGCUUGCUGCUUCGCUGACGAGUGGCGGACGGGUGAGUAAUGUCUGGGAAACUGCCUGAUGGAGGGGGAUAACUACUGGAAACGGUAGCUAAUACCGCAUAACGUCGCAAGACCAAAGAGGGGGACUUUCGGGCCUCUUGCCAUCGGAUGUGCCCAGAUGGGAUUAGCUAGUAGGUGGGGUAACGGCUCACCUAGGCGACGAUCCCUAGCUGGUCUGAGAGGAUGACCAGCCACACUGGAACUGAGACACGGUCCAGACUC